GAUGAACGCUCGCGAUAGGCUUAACACAUGCAAGUCGAGGGGCAGCAUGGUCUUAGCUUGCUAAGACUGAUGGCGACCGGCGCACGGGUGCGUAACGCGUAUGCAACUUGCCUCACAGAGGGGGAUAACCCGUCGAAAGACGGACUAAUACCGCGUACACUCUAUGUUGGGCAUCCAAUGUAGAGGAAAUGAAAUUCGCUGUGAGAUAGGCAUGCGUCCCAUUAGCUAGUUGGUGAGGUAACGGCUCACCAAGGCGACGAUGGGUAGGGGAACUGAGAGGUUGAACCCCCACACUGGUACUGAGACACGGACCAGACUCCUACGGGAGGCAGCAGUGAGGAAUAUUGGUCAAUGGGCGAGAGCCUGAACCAGCCAAGUCGCGUGAAGGAUGACUGUCUUAUGGAUUGUAAACUUCUUUUAUACGGGAAUAACAAGAGCCACGUGUGGCUCCCUGCAUGUACCGUAUGAAUAAGCAUCGGCUAACUCCGUG
rnacentral:rRNA from 1 species